ensembl:lncRNA
AACCUCCCUCCACCCAACCUCCCCCUCAUUCAAACCCUUCUUUUGAUUUCUUGAACACACCAGGUGUUGGCAUGAGCUCUUCCUCCUGCCUGGAAUGUUCCUCCAUGUCUUCAAAAUAAUCAACCCCCAAAACGACUGCCUUUUCCUGAGUCACUUUCUGCUAUGUUACACAAGGUUAUUCUUUUUAUAGCACUUAAAACCUGUUGAAGUUAUACAUUGUCUAUUUACUUAUCUUCUGCCCUUAUCACUCAACAUACUCCAACAAGCAGGUCCUUGCUUGAAUCUGUGAAUUCUGGAAUAAAUGAGAUAAUUUUUGCCCUCAAGAUGCUCACAGGCUAAAGAAAAUAGAGAAGCCAAAUUAUAGGAUCAUAGAAAACUGCAAUAAGUUUCUUUGCUCUUAUUAUAAAAUCAGAGAGCUUUGAGAGGACCAGUUUGUUCGUUCUCCACACCCUCCAUGUUUCUUUCUUUCUUUUUUUGGCCAUGUGGUAUGUGGGAUCUUAGUUCCCCAACAAAGGAUGGAACCCCCACCCUUGCAGUGGAAAUUCAGAGGCUAGCUACUGGAUGACCAGCAACAUCCCCUUUAUGUUUCUUAAAUAGAGAAACCUAGACUUACCCAGAGAGGAUUCACCCGAGUUUGCACAGCAUUAGAGACGCACCCUGGUUCUGAACCUAGGCCACCCAACUUCUCAUAGCAUGAGUUAAAGGAAGGCUUCCCAAAGCAGCUUUGGACUCUCUUCUACUUCCUGUACUUGGCAUCACCAUUCUAGGAACCACCUGAUGAAGGAAAACAAAUUACCUAGAGGAGCCAUUUGAGGAGCAAAAGGAAAUUCUCAAAUAUAUAAGGACCCUACCCUUUAAUCAGACACAAUGUCUGAAUCUUCACCAUUAGUAUCAUCUCUCUUUGGAGCAAGUCUUUUUCUACCUGGACUCCUCUGAAGAAGCACAGAAGCACCAGGAAGAAUGACCCUCUGGUCCCUCAGUGUGGGCAAAGCUGGCCAAACCUCCUAGUCCUCUGAGGGAACUUCUGGGGAGAGGAAGACAGACGGUGCAGCUGGGGUUUAGAGGAGGCAUGGGAAGAGAUGUUCCAAGGCAUCAAGCAGAACUUUCUUACCUGGCCCCACCGGUGUAUCUUGUCUCAUCCCUUGAAACACACAGAGGACCCUCCAGGUACAAGAAAUCACUUGCAGACAUGGUGACAAGCGUUUCCAGGCGUGCUUUCCAGUCCGCACAGCAGCCUUAUGAGAAGGUUGCUGUCAGCAUCCUGUUUAUACCAGUAAAGAAACCAAGGCACAGGAAACUUUGCUCUGAGCUGUCUCUCCCCCAAUGACAGAACUGCAUGUCCGUCAAGAUGCUCAGAAUAGGAAUCACUUGGCCUCAGUGUAAGGAUACUCACAGAGAUAUCCCAGACAUGGAAUACCCAACUUCAGAUGCACAGCAGAGCCCCAGGAAUCCAGUUUAACACAUGCAUUUGCCUCCUCCUCUGAGAUCCUCC